CGAAAACUCCAGAUAAACAAUUUUUUAAGUGAGUGGUUGGUAUUCCAGUUUAGAAAAUAUCAUGGCAAUGUUACUGAUUUUAACAGUUUUGGUGACUAUUGGUGCCGGAGUGAAUGCUGCUUCUGGUAUUGAAUGUACUGGGGGAGCACACAGGUAUCCAGCAAGAGGAACGGGCUACUAUCCGGAUAACUCCGCUUUAGAAGGUGGGUUUGUUGAUAUGAGAGGAGCUAAGCUUAGAACACUACAAGACUAUUUACAAGGUAGUGCAAGCUAUGUGAGUGUUGCCAUGGAUAAUCGCGCUGGUAUUCCAUAUGGAGCCCAUGUUUGUAUUCCAGAGCUAAACCGCAAAUACAGUCGUCAAAUCCCGUUCAAAGUUGUGGAUACAGGAAGUGCAUUCUUUGGUAAAGGUCACAGUCGUAUUGACAUUUGUGUGAGAAGCGCACAUGAUUCUUACGAUUCAACCAUUAAUGGACAUUUAACAUUAGUCUUUGAUUAAUUUUUUACAUUAUUAUUUUUGUUCGGAGAGGUUUAUCUUAAAGAAUAAAAGCAAAUGG